rnacentral:lncRNA from 1 species
UCGCAGAAAUUGAAAGUCGAUUUCAGUGUGUUUGUCGGCGAAAUUUGCCGGCAGAACGCGGUUUCAGUUCGGAUUUCAUCCGACGGUGUGUGUUUUUCAUGUGUUAUGUCGCUGAGCCUUGUCGACUAGUCACCAUCAUCAUAUCGUGAGUUCGGAGAUGACGGGUGAGCGACGUUGGGUUCCAAUGCCGAAUUGACACUUCCGAAAAUCCAGAUCCGAAUAAUUAUUCGGCGAUAAUUAUUUAGUUGUGUAU